UGGGGGUGGGUGGGGUGCUUUGAACGCCCCCGCGCAGACGCUUUUGGGACGCGGCGGGCUCGGUGGGACGGGGUUGGCGCCUGAGUCCCGUGGGGCUGGUGGAAGAGUGACGGGAGCUCUGGAGAGGGAGCCUCACCCCCCCCCCCUCCUCCCCUCCCCGGGGGGGCGCGUGGGCGGGUGCAGGAGGCCGAGUAUCAGUCCCAGCCAGGAGGCGCCGCGGCACCGCGGGACGCCGGGACAUCUGUAAGUCCAGGCAUCCAUCCAGCCACGUGUCCAACGGACAGACCGGCCACGUGCCCCCCCCACAGCACCCCAGGAGCUCCGAGCGGAGGCCAACCUGGACGUUUCUUCCGCCAUGGGUUCCCUCAGCAGAAUCCCGUAGGGAUUUCGUUUGCCGAGUUGCCAAGCUCUCAUUGGCUGGAAAAGAAGAGACUGUCCAGAGCCAUUUGGUGGCCUCUUUUGAGAGACCGGCUAGAAUGGAAGCCCUUUCUGAAGCCCUGUGUGUGCAAACCCAGCGACCUUCUGGACAAAAGAUGGUUGUGGUCUGAUGAUACUAAAGUUGAGCUCCUUGGCUCAGAAGCAAAGAGAUAUGUUUGUGCGCAAACAAAAUGGCACCCUUGCUGUCGAGUGUGGUGGUGGCGGCGUCGUGCUAUGGGACUGCUUUUUUUCGGCAGGAGGGGACUGGGGAUGACUGUUGCCGUGAGGAACAAGAUGGACAGAGCCAAAAUACUGGCCAGUCCGUGAGGAGAACCUGUUUCGCCCCACAAGGUACAGGUGUUUAGCGAGGGCAGGAUUCAUGUUCAGACAGGACAGUGACCAAAAAAGCAAAUGGGGGUGGGUGGGUGGGGGGAAACUGCAAAGAAUGACUUACAAACAAGACGUGGGUUAGCAGUCUGCAAUGGCCCAGCCAAAGCCCAGACUUAAAAACCCCACUUAAAAUCUGUGGCGCAUACCCGAACAUCCCUGUCCACCAGGAAGGCUUCCCGCGAGGCCUAGUGGAGCUGAAACUAGUUUUGCAAGGAGGUACGGGCAAAAAAUUCCCCAAAACCAAAGCUUGAGAACCUCAUACAGGCAAAACCAAGAAAGGCUCAGGGGAGGGAUCGCUGCCAAGUGUCUGUCUGCUAAGUUUUGAGUCUGUGGGGGCGUGCAAACAGUUUUGUAAACAAGAAGUCUAAGCCUUGCAUUUAAACAAAAUAAAAAAUAUUGAAUCCUUUUU